CCUACGGUGGGCAGCAGUGGGGGAUAUUGCACAAUGGAGGAAACUCUGAUGCAGCGACGCCGUGUGAGGGAAGACGGUCUUCGGAUUGUAAACCUCUGUCUUUGGGGAAGAAAAUGACGGUACCCAACGAGUAAGCUCCGGCUAACUACGUGCCAGCAGCCGCGGUAAUACGUAGGGAGCGAGCGUUGUCCGGAUUUACUGGGUGAAAAGGGAGCGUAGGCGGGCGAGAAAGUUGAAUGUUAAAUCUACGGUCUUAACUAGUAGCUGCGUUUAAAACUUCUUGUCUUGAGUGAGGGAGAGGCAGGCGGAAUUCCUAGUGUAGCGGUGAAAUGCGUAGAGAUCAAGAGGAACACCAGUGGCGAAGGCGGCCUGCUGGGAUAUAACUGACGCUGAGGCUCGAAAGCGUGGGGAGCAAACAGGAUUAGAUACCCUAGUAGUC
rnacentral:rRNA from 1 species